rnacentral:ncRNA from 1 species
ACUCUAGUCUGGUGCUGUGAAGAGACAUGAGAGGUAUAGAAUAAGUGGGAGGCCAGGCCCAAGCUCAGCCAUGGGAGGCGACCCACCCGCCAGCGUCCAGGCCAUCAGUGAAAUACCACUACUCUGAUCGUUUUUUCACNUACUUGGANGGCCCAGGUUGCUGCUUGGGUCAGGCUGGGUAUUGGACGGCGGGUGGUGAGU